rnacentral:lncRNA from 1 species
AAAAUGCUUAUUUUGGAAUAGAGGUGAUAUCUGGUAUGUGAGGGGCUAUUUAUUAAGUUCCUCUUUAAAAAAGGCAUGCAAACAUCACUCAUAUUUAACAUCCAGCUGUUUCCUGUAACUUGAACCUUAUAUUCCCCAGGCAAUUGAGCCAAGCCUGUGUCUAUAAUACAGUAGCUGUUUGAUAUUUCUUGUUCACUGCUUGUGGGGAAUGUUUUGCCUAGCUAUUUUGACAAAAACAUUGAGUGUCUGCUCUGUACAUGUGCAGGUGUAUGCCAGACUGCCACAUGUCAUUUAUACCAGUUGGGUUUUUUCCUUAAUAUAACAGUGGUAUAAUUUUUAAAGGGUUUUACACUGCUUGAGUUAAAAAGUAGCUCAUUAGAAAUCCUUUUAAGAAAGGAUGCCUGCUUUCAAAAUUAUUAGUUGCUUUUGGCAGCAGGAAUUCAUAGUUAUGAUUGGCAAUAAGUUUGAGGGAUGUUACUUGCUAAGUUUUAACAGGUAGUUUUUAGAUUUAUUUCUCCAAAUGUAAAUACUGUCUUGUUUUAGAAUGCUGAAACAAGGCUUGAAGUGGAUUAUAUAGUAAAGUUACCCUAGUUCAUGCAGUGUGGCUGUUACCUCUGUCAUCUAGAAUGGGAAUUGUGUGUCCUUACUUAUAGUAUUUCUGUAAUAGACCACCAGAAAAUGACUUUCAGUUACAAUUGCACAAGUAGUUCCCAUACAGGUAAUUAAUUUUUGUUCUGCAUAGGUGUUACAUUAAGGAAUAGGGCUUCAUAGUUACAAGGAAGGAAGCAGUAUUCCAUGUCUAGUGUUAAUGAAUGAAGGUUCCAGGCUCCUUUUAAUCUUAGGAAUAAAUAAAUUUGCUAUUAGACUUUUAUCACUUGAUUUUUACACUUGAGAUUCUCUUGGUUUCCUCUUAAUAUCUCAAACAAUUUUGCAUAUUAAAGUUUGAAGGUAAUUCUUCUGUUUUAGCUUGUAUUUCAGAUGGUGUUGGAAAAUGCUAGUGGUAAGCUAUAUGGAGACAAUUUGCCAAUUAUCUAUGCUCCUAAAACUGCAUAGAUUGCUUAUUUAUCUGAAAGUAUACAGACUACAAAUAGUUUUAGUCACUGGAAUUGAACUUUAUUAUAUAUAUGGCUGCUGUUGACAUAACUAGUUUAUUUUCAUGAUAUAUUUGGAACAUGAUAUAAUAAUAUGAAAAAUUUUUUAUAGUAAAAUAGUUUGCUACUAGUUAGAGUUAAGAUGCAUAACUAAGGCCUUCAACCAUUUUUUUCCAUAUUUUUAUUGGUGCAUUAUAAUUGUACCAAAUGGUGAGAUCUGUUGCAUAUACGUACAUGCACAUAAUAUAAGCAUAUAAUUUGGCCAGAAUUCCCCAGUAUUUCUGACUUCCCUCCUUUGCCUCCCCUUUUCUUUACUUGACUGAUUGUCCUACAGUUUUCAUGAUAUUCCUCCUCUCCCCAUCACCUCAUUUACUUUAGUAAAUGGGACUGUACAGACCAGAGAAAUCUGAUGUUGUAAUUUCUGACUGUAUGUGUAGAUCUUGAUAUUUACAUCCGAGAAUAUCAAAAUGAACAUGGUUAUGAAGAUGUUAAAUUUUGUUUGAGAUGCUCCUAAAUAAACUUAAGUUAUAUUAAUAGGUUUAACCCUUUUUUCCCCUACAAAUUUCCAGAGUAAUAAUAAUCAAAACCAACUUUUUUAACUACAAUUUUAAAUUGGUUUAGCAAUGUUUUUAUGCAUUGCUCUGUCAAGAAGGAAUAACAAACCAUAAGUCUUCCAUUCAUAGAAUUCUAGUUUGUUUUCUUUCUUUUUUGUGUGUGUGUUUCCUGUUAUGAUUAACUAACCUAAAGGAGCAUUUAGGAGUUCACUUCUGACUUACGUGAUCUUUUUCAUGAUAUUUACCACUUAAGUGUUGAUGUUGCAAUAUUCUUAUAUGCUUAUAGGGAAUAGUGACGCUGAAGGAUGAAAUGUUUUGAGUCUAGUCCAGGGUUGAAUAAAAAGGGAAAGGAUAGGGUGGUUAUAGGUAUACAUCUAAACGUUUGUGCUACACAGUCUCUGGCAGAAUUUGGGAAUCCACUAUUGUAGGGAUUUUGUAAUUCAUGGGUCUGAAGCAAAGCAUCCCUCUUGUUUUUUUUUCUUUGAACAUUCUGGUCAAAGUGUUAGUACAGCCUUAUAGCCCCACUUUCAGAGGAAGUGUGGAGGAGGAACAUAAAGUAUACUCUGUAGACAUUUUUAAAGAAAAUCAAACUGGGCAUUCAUCUUUUUUGUCUCAUUAUUCUAUAGAGAGAGAAUAUUUUUUAUGCUAUUAUGAAACGCUUGACAAUUAGAGCCUAUAUUAUGAAGGCCAUUUAUGACUGUUCCUAAUGAUAGAAGGAUGGCUAAGUACAGGCCAGACCUCUGAUAUCCUAGAGGAUUACCAGGAUAGGAGAAAACAGUUGUCUUAAUAGGAUUUCUGUAUUUGGAGAAUAUUACAUUAAGCAUUACUUAGUUGAAAUUGUUAGCAUUGAUAGAAGACAUUCACCUAUCGGUACAUUUAAUUUGAAUGAUUCUUUAGAUGGUCAUUUCCAAAGUUUUUUUUAUAACAUUCUCUUAAAAUGCUUUUGCAUAUGUUUUCAUGAAAAUUACUGUAUAUUCAAAAAGCACAUGGUAUAUAUUACAUAAGCAAAUCUCCAUAUAUUGGAAUACACUAAAAAUUUUAUUGAUGGGGAUGAAUGUUCAAAAUGUUUAGAGACUAUUUCUCAUCACUCAAGUAGGUAUUUGCUCACCCAAGAAUAAUUCAUAAUUAUGUUUUUUUCUUAAGUGAUAAGUCUUAAAAUGAGAAGAGAAUUAUAAUUUUAGCUUACCUGUUCUUAUUUGUAAAAUUAAGUCAUCUUAAUAGUCAACAGAUAUCCAAAAUUGAGUGUAAUUGCUAAUUCAAAGACAAUAUUGUUCUUAUAUUUUCAAGAAUGUAUUGCUAUGUGUGGAAAUUCACAUUUUAUCUUUCGUAGAAUUUUUUUUGUAAAAUAUUAGGUACUUGGUGACAUUGAUAUGUAUGGUUCUAAGGGAACUGAAUUAUUGAAGUCAUAGAUUGGUAAUUAAAUUAUUUUUAGUAGUCAUGGUUAAGCCAGAAUUUCCUGUUUUCUUUUUUCCUUUUGUUUUGAGCCAUUCCUAAAUUUUUGGACCUCAUUUGAGAGGAUUCCUAAAAUGGACAUAAGCCUUAUUUCAUUAGACUUGAAAAUUGCACUAUAAGUAGGAUUGAAUAUAUUUUCUAGUUUUCCUGAUUUAUGACUCUUUCAUCCCCUCAAGUCAAUAGAUUGAAUGACGUUGUAUUUCUUAGAAUUGCACUUGGGAACCUUCAGGUUAUCAGUACAUAUUCUUACUGAACCAUUCAACAACUGGAUGAGGUUGACAAGAAGGUCAGUAUUUUUUAAUCUUUAUUUUAUGGAUAUCAAAAACUAAGCUUAAUUUUCCCUAAGCCUGACAGCUAAUGGACUAUUUGAACAAAAGGCCUUUCUGAACCCAAAACUCGAGUGCUUAACUAUUGGUAUAUCAUUUUAUUUUCCUUGUUGGAAUAUGUUUGAGUUCCCUUUACUACUUGGCCAUCUUUGGUCAUUUUCAGUAUGGAAACUCUGUCCGCCCAGGAGAUGGAUAACUGUACCACUAGGCUUCUUUCUUUGAGGAAGUUAGGAUUUAUUGUGAAGAAUACUAGUCUUAGAAGGAUGAGUUGGAAUCUUGGCUUGUGACUUUGGAGCAGUUAGCUAGUCAGUCUCUGAACCCAUCACUCCAUAUAUAAAC